rnacentral:rRNA from 1 species
UACAGAGGGUGCAAGCGUUAAUCGGAGUUACUGGGCGUAAAGGGUGCGUAGGCGGCUUUCUAAGUCUGAUGUGAAAUCCUGGGGCUCAACCCUGGAACUGCAUUGGAUACUGGGAGGCUAGAGUACUGGAGAGGAAACUGGAAUUUACGGUGUAGCAGUGAAAUGCGUAGAGAUCGUAAGGAAGACCAGUGGCGAAGGCGAGUUUCUGGACAGUUACUGACGCUGAGGCACGAAGGCCAGGGGAGCAAACGGG